rnacentral:rRNA from 1 species
GGACCCGCACAAGUAGUGGAGCAUGUGGUUUAAUUCGAAGAUACGCGCAGAACCUUACCAACACUUGACAUGUUCGUCGCGACUUUAAGAGAUUAAAGUUUUCGGUUCGGCCGGACGAAACACAGGUGCUGCAUGGCUGUCGUCAGCUCGUGUCGUGAGAUGUUGGGUUAAGUCCCGCAACGAGCGCAACCCUCACUUUUAGUUGCCAUCAUUUAGUUGGGCACUCUGAAAGAACUGCCAGUGAUAAGCUGGAGGAAGGUGGGGGAUGACGUCAAGUCCUCAUGGCCCUUACGUGUUGGGCUACACACGUGCUACAAAUGGUAUCAUACAACAGGAAAGCGAAAACGGCGACGUU